rnacentral:rRNA from 1 species
GAUGAACGCUGGCGGCGUGCCUAAUACAUGCAAGUCGAGCGAACAGACGAGAGUGCUUGCACUCUCUGACGUUAGCGGCGGACGGGUGAGUAACACGUGGGUAACCUACCUAUAAGACUGGGAUAACUUCGGGAAACCGGAGCUAAUACCGGAUAAUAUUUAGCUUCGCAUGAAGCAAUAGUGAAAGACGGUUCUGCUGUCACUUAUAGAUGGACCCGCGGUGUAUUAGCUGGUUGGUGAGGUAACGGCUCACCAAGGCAACGAUACAUAGCCGACCUGAGAGGGUGAUCGGCCACACUGGGACUGAGACACGGCCCAGACUCCUACGGGAGGCAGCAGUAGGGAAUCUUCCGCAAUGGACGAAAGUCUGACGGAGCAAUGCCGCGUGAGUGAAGAAGGUGUUCGGAUCGUAAAACUCUGUUGUAAGGGAAGAACAAGUACGUUAGUAACUGAACGUACCUUGACGGUACCUUACCAGAAAGCCACGGCUAACUACGUG